GACUCUCGGCAACGGAUAUCUCGGCUCUCGCAUUGAUGAAGAACGUAGCAAAAUACGAUACUUGGUGUGAAUUGCAGAAUCCCAUGAACCAUCGAGUCUUUGAAUGCAAGUUGCUAAAGACUUGGGGGGCGGCU
rnacentral:rRNA from 1 species